CACGUAGGGCGCAAGCGUUGUCCGGAAUUAUUGGGCGUAAAGAGCUCGUAGGCGGUCUGUUACGUCUGCUGUGAAAACCCGGGGCUUAACCUUGGGCUUGCAGUGGAUACGGGCAGACUAGAGGUAGGUAGGGGAGAAUGGAAUUCCCGGUGUAGCGGUGAAAUGCGCAGAUAUCGGGAGGAACACCGGUGGCGAAGGCGGUUCUCUGGGCCUGACCUGACGCUGAGGAGCGAAAGCGUGGGGAGCGAACAGG
rnacentral:rRNA from 1 species